UGAAGUUAACCAGCUAAUUACUACGAUAACAAAAUGCAUUUCGUGUUCAUUGCGAAGGUUACAUGUUAAGAAUGUUGUCAUAAAUUUUAAUAUUCCAUGUUAGUGUUGAUGUUAUGAGUACUAAUAUCAAGGUUUGAAUAUAACUGCAAUUGAAACAUGAUUUAAUCCCUGAGAGUCGCUGCCUCAAGCAUUGCCUAAACAUUUUCAGAAAUUCCCAAAAUACUAUUUCAAUACCCAACACAAUUGAAAAGGCAAUUUUAUAUUUUAUCAGCUUUAUGCAAAAAAAGGAUGCAAGAAAGAUUCAUUAGGAGGCAUGAUGUGAUGCACGUGAUGAUGAAGGUUUAACGACGCUAAUGGUUAUCAGGAAUGCCAGGUCCAUAGCCGCCUACUCGUCUUUCUCCUGGCUUCAGUUUUCUCAAUGCCGAGGGUCGUGACCACCAAAAACAACAACAGUUUGCUGUGAAUUACUCAGCUCCAUUUGUACCUAUCUGUCACAGACUAUAGAGUAUUGUGGACUAUGGUGUCGGUACUAAUGCUAGUAAUAUAGCUGCCUACAAC